CCCAUGAUCUAUGUAAUUAUUUUCUCUGAUUACAUCAUUGUAUGGCCGAUCUGAAGAACAUUAUUGAUAGUAGGAGUACAUCAUACAAGGAUAAUACUGGGAAAUUAUAAGUGUGUUUGUUUAUAAGCAUUGACAUGCAUAUCUUAUUUCAACCUUGAGGCUCUAAAGCCCUAAUAUUUGCAUUUAUUUGUAAACAAAGGGUGCGAAAAAUGUAGAAUCAACAACUAAUUAGUCAAUGCAAGAGAUGAGACAAAAUGAGGGAACAUUCAUGGCUCUGAGCUGCCAAACUGAAAUGCCCCUAUUAUUGUUAGUAUUUUUCCAUGGAAAAUAUUUUAAUGAUUUUAAGGAAUAUGAUUAGGUAUUCUAUAGAUGUUAUGAAGGUACUGGUAAAUUCACAUACAUGAAGUUGUUGCAUGUCCAUCAAAUUGUCUAGCCUUCGAGGAUGGAAUUAUUUGUUGGAAACGACUUCUGAAUCUGCAGAAUAAGAAGCUCAUUCACACUCUUUUCUCUCUAAUACUUGCGGUCACAAGACCAUGGUGUUAAUGGAGUCAAAUAACUUCAGGUGUCUUAGACGCAUCACUUUGCUCCUUUCUCAAGUUUGAUCUGUACUAACGUGGUUGCACAAUUUGAAAAUUACAUAAUGUUUUUUUGUAAAUGCAAAAUCUGUCGACAUGACAUUUUUUAAAACCAAUAUUUACAAGCAGCAGUUACAAAAUUUCACCAAGCAAAAUGAAAUUACCAAUUUACUCCGAAGAUUCAAGUUUAUCUAUGGAACGUCUCUUCUUGCCUUCUUUUUACUAUUUAUGUCCCUUGCUUUCAGUAUGCACUUUAGUUGUUCGUUCAUUUCAUCCAAGCAUGAAUUGUAGAUCGUGUAUCGGUCGUAGUUUUCACCUAGUUCACAUAUUCAUGAUAAAUUGUAGCAAAAAAAGGCUUUGGAGAAGCGGGCCAGGAGAUGGGACAAUGGUCCAACGCUGUUGCCUUGAUGCUACUGGAUGAUUUCAUCAUGCUACCACUCACAUGGUUAUACCACAUUGUUCUCAUCCGAUUGGCCAGUCUCCUUCUCUUGACCGAGUCGAAUUCAUUGCAUCCGUUAUAAAUUUCUCCGUUGCCGCCCUUACAUGGCCUGCAUCAUUGCUGCCACCGUCCAUGGCCCGCAUCGCCGCCGCCCCUACCAUCCCUCUCUCCACCUCCAUCGCCGGCUUCUCCGGCCGCAACCAAGGUGAGGCUGCUGCUCAAAGUGCAGCUCCGGAACCUGGUCUCCCUCCUCGGCUGAUUUGUAAGGCAGCAGUAUAAUUAUCCGCUACUCCGGUCAACAGAGUAAUGGUAGUUUGGUCAUCUCCUGUGUUUAUGCCAUAAACAUAAUACUCCCUAAAUACUGCAGUAUGUACGUAUGCACAGAUUUCCUGUUUGAUAAACUAUGGUGAAUGAGAAGCUAGCUAGCUUAUUCACUCGAUUCCCUGUUAGAUACUGCAGUAUAUACUUCUUGCUUUUGUUGUUCUUAAUAUAGCUUGCUAGUUUUGGAUUUAAUCGUUCUUUCUAGUUCUGUAUGCUUAUCAUGGAGUAGUUGCUUUAUUUUCUGAGUAGGAGUUUAUACUUUCUAUAGGAGUAGGAGUAUAAAUACUUAAGUUCUCCGUUAAGGUGAUGGAGUAGUAGUAUAUACUUUAAACUAUGAUGACAUUACAGUCUAAAUAAAAUCCACUUUUAAAUUACAACCAGUUGAGAAGGUAAUUCAAUGUAAAUGUACAACCUGUUGAGUAUUCUACGCAAAAUACCCACUUCUGUACUUUUAAAUUCACUUUAAUCUGGAGUAGUGGUAUAAUGAAGAUGGUAUCUGAAUUCACUUUAAUCAACCAGAUGUUCCUUUAGCUUAGUACUCCAUGAGCUUAUUGUCAUAUUUCUAGUAUUGGAGUAUGUCUUCUAGAUGUGAAUGAGCUCGGAGGCGACCUGUUGGUGAACAACCUGUAGGUGUACUCCAUGAGCUUAUCUGUUUUCCUUCUUCAGACCAUGCCCGCCGGUUUUAUCAUCCUUAUUUGUGAAUCAUUAGACUCCUGAAAAUCUCUGGCUCCUGAAAAUCAUAAAACUGAUGAAAUGCACGCCGGUUUCUAUCAUCAUUAUUUGUUAAAUCUCUGGCUCCUGUGUGCAUUUUCUGAAUAAUAUUAACUGAAAUUUAAUGUGUGCAUUUUCUGAAUCAUAUUAGCUGGAAUUUAUUGUGUGCAUUUCUACUCGAGCUAUCAUUACAUCAUUGCCAAAUGUUUAUCAGCUUGCAUACAGUGAAACUUAUUAUUCAGAUACACAUGGAAAGGAAGAGAGUCGAAUGCAUCACCUUUUUUAUUCAGACACACAUGGAACUUAUUAAGGCAUAGAGAUGUUUCCCUUUUUUUUGAAGGAUAGAUGUCAGUUUAUUCUUAGCCUUUCAAUCACUAUGAUCUUUGAACUUUGAAUGAUGCUAGAUAUCAGGUCUGUAUCCUGCAAAUUGUUCAGCGCAUGCAACUCGUCAUUCUGCACAAUUAGCACACGUCCUGUUUGUUCUGCGCAUAUAUCUGUAGCAUUAGUAAACUACUAACAGGAGUAGUAAAAUGGAUAGUGGAAAUGUUUCAAACUGAAUUUUCGUGCACUGAACCACACCAUUUCUUAUCUUCUUUUAAUCUGCAUCUCUCUUUUCCUUCUUCUGAUCCUUUGAUUCAAUAAUGUCAUUAUCAUUUCUUCCUUAUUAAAAGGUUUAGAGCAGUUCUUUUCUUUUAAUUUGCAGCUAUUGUUUAUUCAGUUGAGACUAUUGAGCAAGUUGCAGUAAACCUGAGGCCGACGUGUAGCAAUUUAAGCACCUACCCUAAUGGAUGAUUCAUUUCUCUUCGGGUGGAGAGAAGUUGAGGCCUGGAAGAACCAUGGUGAUCUGCUGUGCUGCCGAGCAAGGAAGAAGGUCUUGUGUUAGGCGCAUGUGGACCUGGAGGUGCUUACCGGUACUCUGUUGGGUAAGUGUUGGGACGUGUGGACCUGGAGGUGCGGCUGGCUUACAGGGAGAGCAUCUGGGUGACCUGGAGCUGCCGCGAGUUGGGCCACAAGCUGGGUGGCGCAACCAGAUCGUCGGUGAAGGAGUCCGAUGGUGAGACAUAACUGUUGUUCGCCGCUGCAAGCCUGUCCAUGGCCAGCGCGGACACAGUGGAUCGCGCCGUUGUACACACUGGUCUGGUAGGUCGGACCGUCACCCAUAAAUUAUCUGUUGGCUCGCUAAAAUGGAUGGAAUGAACUGUUUUGAGCAAGAUAUAUACAGUGCAGGAGUACAUAGGUCUCAACUUUGUUGAGAUCAUCAACUAGUGGAGGCAACUAGCUAGUUCAGAUUAUCAAGUAGUUCGGAAUGUUCUAGCGGAAUGUUCUACAGUAAACUUGUUCUAAAUUAUCAAGUAGUUUGGAUUAUCA